CAUGCAGGAUACUUUGAAGAUGCAGAAAGAACAGAUGGAAGAGGACACAAAAUGGUUAAAGAAGGAGGAGAAGCUUCUGGACCCAAUGGUUCAUGAAGACACAAGUAUUCAGGAGACACCUGAACCACCACUUAGUUAUG